UUGACUUUUUGCUCUGCAAGCGCUGCUUUUUCUUGAUGUGGUUUUAUCUUUUCAUUUCUUUUUUUAGGCCAAGCAGCUGGAAGAGAAAGACAGAGAACUGAAGAAGCAUGAUGCAUACUACAAAGAGCAGCUGGCUCGACUGGAAGAGAGGAGUGCACAGUUCUACAAAGUAACCACGGAGCAAUACCAGCAAGCUGUCAAAGAGGUGGAAGCUAAGUUCAAGCGAUAUGAGUCCCAUCCAAUCUGUGCUGAUCUGCAGAGUAAGAUUCUCCAAUGUUAUCAGCAAAACUCCCAUGAGACCCUCAGCUGCUCUGCACUGGCCAGCCAAUACUUUCGUUGCGUCAAUCAUGCCAAACAGAGCAUGCUUGGUAGAGGAGGGUAAGGCAACAUCCAAAUCAAGCACAAAGCCAUCAACUCUAAUUCCAGCAGCAGAGCGUUUUUCCCAAGAAGAUGACAGCCCAUUUACAGAGCAGACCAAUAAAGAGAAGAACAGGAAGAGCCAUUCAAGAGCCGCAGUCAUCACAGUUCAAUCAGCGUAACCGUUUGAAAAGCUAAGACCUGUAUCUUAUUACAUCAGAAACGAUACAUCCGAGGGUGCUGUUCAGUCGUCGUAAAACUCACUUAUCGGUGACUGAAAAAAGGUAAAGAAAAAAUAUCUUCCAUUGACCUUAGAGGAGAGGAAAAUGUCUCCAAACGCUGCUAUUUCAUUGUACAAUCUCCUCAGUGACUCCAUGCAGUCAAAUCCAGGGGCACGUAAUGCUUAGUGUCCCAGGGCAGGGCGACACUGUGUGAACUGGCCAACUGCUACUCCACACUAUAGGGCCUGGGUUGACUGCUGCUUGUUAAGAAUUUUUCCUUUUUAUAUGCACUUGAAGGAAUGUUUGCUUAACUUAUUACUAAGAUUAUGUAACCAAAAAGUCCCCAUCUUCCUCGCCAUGCUCUCUGCUGGAAUAAUGUUAAAUACUUAGAGUGCGAGGUGUAAAAUAGCCUUUCGUUACAUUCUGUCGGUAACCUAUGAUCAUGUUGUGCUACCAACUGACAUUGAGUAUUGAAAAUUAUGUCUCACUCUGUAUCGACAAUAAAUAUAUUUUGUGAACAGAAUUGA
rnacentral:lncRNA from 1 species